GUCAUGCUCGCUUCAGCAGGACAUAUACUAAAAUUGAAACAACACAGAGAUUAGCAUGGCCCCUGCGCAAGAAUGAGAGGAAUGUCACUUACUAAUCCUAAAAACAUUU